UGAUUUAUUUACAAGAUAUAAUUUUGAGAUCGGUAGUGCGGAUACAGUAGAGAGUAGAAUGUUAACUUGUCAAAUUACGCAUCUUUUAUUGGGAUUUAUUGUCUUAUUAGGGGUUUUAGUGACACCAGAAUGCGCAAGAAAAUUGUCAUGUGAAGGAAAUGUUUUUCAUUGUGGAAGCAAUGGACAGUGUGUACCCAUGGAAUGGAAGUGUGAUGGCGAUGAAGACUGUAGAAAUGGUGCAGACGAAAGGAAUUGUCCCGUCAGUACUUGCCCUGGUCAUAAAUUUGCCUGUCAGUCAGCUGACCACUUGGAUUGUAUACCUCAAAGCUGGAGAUGUGAUGGUGAUGGCGAUUGUCCCGAUAAUUCCGAUGAAAUCAACUGUGACUCGACAUAAAUUCAUUUCAUAUUUUACUAGUGUUGGCCUCGUUUUUAACUUUCGACUUUUGGCUCUGUGUAGGGACCUGACAAACUUAGAGUAAAUUGCCAAAUUUAAUGUAGAUUAUCAGCUAUUGAGUUCACCAUAGAUUUGCUUGGGAUUGUAAUUUAGAAUAGGUGUGACUAAUCAAAACCAUCACCAACAGUGAGAGUACCCUCAUUAAAAACGUGUUACUACAGGGGCUAAAUUUUAAUUCUAUUAUAUAAAAAUAUUUUUGUUAUAAGUAUUUAGUGUCAAUAAAACGUUAAGAAACUGAAUAA